AGCUCUGCACACGGCCUCUCCGGUGCCCGAUCUCUGGAUCUCUCUCUAAGAGAUGGGGCUGUUCUCUGGAUAAAGCACGCCGGGGUUUGCUCUGUUGAAGAGCCCUUUUCUCCCUGGAUCUCCUCCUGGGCUGCAGCCAUCAGCCAAAACGGAAAGCACUGCUCAUCCUACCUCUUUUACCCCAGCUUUGGAGUCUUGCGGCGUUUUGUGCUGUUGUGCUGGGAUGUUUGCCGUAAUGGAAUCAGCUGAGUGCGGAGCAUCAGGACCUCUCAAGGCUUCCCAGCAGCUCCCACCCGUAAGCACCAAAGAGUCCUCCUCAGCCUCGGGUCUGAGUCAGCUCCCCGGGCAUGGGGCAUUCUGUGCUGCAGGGAACAGAGCGUGCGGGCGACACGGGUCCUGCAUGGACACCUCGUUGCUGCUCUCGUCUGCGUGCGAUCAUCCAGGGUGAGACCAGGGGACAUACUAGGAAGACUGCUUGGGAUGCCUUCCGUCUUCUCCCUGCGUACCAGGAACUCUGUCAUCUGACGGUGAGUAAUACCAGUGUGCUUUUGUACACGGUAUGCAGCCUGCCAAAGUGUUUUGCUUCCAAGUUACCAUUGUGUAUUACCCAAAAGCAACUGAGACAUUUGGGGUUAGCUUUGUAUAUAGAUACAGAUGAGGCAUCUGAAGCGUGUCUGUCUGUAAAAAAUACCUACAUUUAG
rnacentral:lncRNA from 14 species